ensembl:antisense Gm16175 predicted gene 16175
CAGAAUGCAGAGCCGAGCUGCCAGAAUACAUCUGAGCGUUCACGUUGGCGCCGUGCUGUGGGACGGAGAAAUUCGAGUCAAGAGUCACGUGAGCCAGUGGCCUCGCUUGGCCUGGCGUCAGCUAGGUGAAGGGGACGGACAGGGAUAGAAGCCUACGCGACACCUCUCCCGAUUCAAGAGAGUCAGAGACUCUUUCGUCUUCCUCAGAACCCAAAAGUCUAACUUCAAUAAAGCUUCUUUUUCUUUUC